CGGGACGGGUGAGUAAUGUCUGGGAAACUGCCUGAUGGAGGGGGGUAACUACUGGAAACGGUAGCUAAUACCGCAUAACGUCGCAAGACCAAAGAGGGGGACCUUCGGGCCUCUUGCCAUCGGAUGUGCCCAGAUGGGAUUAGCUAGUAGGUGGGGUAACGGCUCACCUAGGCGACGAUCCCUAGCUGGUCUGAGAGAUGACCAGCCACACUGGAACUGAGACACGGUCCAG
rnacentral:rRNA from 1 species